rnacentral:rRNA from 1 species
AGAGUUUGAUCAUGGCUCAGAUUGAACGCUGGCGGCAGGCUUAACACAUGCAAGUCGAGCGGUAACAGGAGAAGCUUGCUUCUCGCUGACGAGCGGCGGACGGGUGAGUAAUACUUAGGAAUCUACCCAGUAGUGGGGGAUAGCUCGGGGAAACUCGAAUUAAUACCGCAUACACCCUACGGGGAAAAGGGGGCGCUUGCGCUCUCGCUAUUGGAUGAGCCUAAGUCGGAUUAGCUAGUUGGUGGGGUAAAGGCCUACCAAGGCGACGAUCUGUAGCUGGUCUGAGAGGAUGAUCAGCCACACCGGGACUGAGACACGGCCCGGACUCCUACGGGAGGCAGCAGUGGGGAAUAUUGGACAAUGGGGGCAACCCUGAUCCAGCCAUGCCGCGUGUGUGAAGAAGGCCUUUUGGUUGUAAAGCACUUUAAGCAGUGAAGAAGACCUAACGGUUAAUACCCGUUAGCGAUGACAUUAGCUGCAGAAUAAGCACCGGCUAACUCUGUGCCAGCAGCCGCGGUAAUACAGAGGGUGCAAGCGUUAAUCGGAAUUACUGGGCGUAAAGCGAGCGUAGGUGGCUUGAUAAGUCAGAUGUGAAAUCCCCGGGCUUAACCUGGGAACUGCAUCUGAUACUGUUGGGCUAGAGUAGGUGAGAGGGAGGUAGAAUUUCAGGUGUAGCGGUGAAAUGCGUAGAGAUCUGAAGGAAUACCGAUGGCGAAGGCAGCCUCCUGGCAUCAUACUGACACUGAGGUUCGAAAGCGUGGGUAGCAAACAGGAUUAGAUACCCUGGUAGUCC